CCUACGGGCGGCUGCAGUGGGGAAUAUUGCACAAUGGGCGCAAGCCUGGUGCAGCCAUGCCGCGUGUGUGAAGAAGGCCUUCGGGUUGUAAAGCACUUUCAGCGGGGAGGAAGGCGGUGAGGUUAAUAACCUCAUCGAUUGACGUUACCCGCAGAAGAAGCACCGGCUAACUCCGUGCCAGCAGCCGCGGUAAUACGGAGGGUGCAAGCGUUAAUCGGAAUUACUGGGCGUAAAGCGCACGCAGGCGGUCUGUCAAGUCGGAUGUGAAAUCCCCGGGCUCAACCUGGGAACUGCAUUCGAAACUGGCAGGCUAGAGUCUUGUAGAGGAGGGUAGAAUUCCAGGUGUAGCGGUGAAAUGCGUAGAGAUCUGGAGGAAUACCGGUGGCGAAGGCGGCCCCCUGGACAAAGACUGACGCUCAGGUGCGAAAGCGUGGGGAGCAAACAGGAUUAGAUACCCCAGUAGUC
rnacentral:rRNA from 1 species